rnacentral:rRNA from 1 species
CGUGGCGGACGGGUGAGGAACGCGUGACUAACCUGCCCAUUGGUGGGGGAUACCGGGCAGAAAUGCCUGUUAAUACCGCAUGAGACCGUCGGGUGGUGGCCUGGCGGGAAAGCCCACGGGCGCCGAUGGAGGGGGUCGCGUCGGAUUAGCUAGUUGGUGGGGUAACGGCCUACCAAGGCGGUGAUCCGUAGCUGGUCUGAGAGGACGGCCAGCCAUACUGGGACUGAGACACGGCCCAG